CAGUGGGAAAUAUUGGCCAAUGGGCGCAAGCCUGCCCAGCAACGCCGCGUGAAGGAAGAAGGCUUUCGGGUUGUAAACUUCUUUUUGUCAGGGAACAGUAGAAGAGGGUACCUGACGAAUAAGCUCCGGCUAACUACGUGCCAGCAGCCGCGGUAAUACGUAGGGAGCGAGCGUUGUCCGGAUUUACUGGGUGUAAAGGGCGUGUAGGCGGGAUUACAAGUCAGAUGUGAAAUUCCGGGGCUCAACCCCGGAACUGCAUUUGAAACUGUAGUUCUUGAGUACUGGAGAGGCAGGCGGAAUUCCUAGUGUAGCGGUGAAAUGCGUAGAUAUUAGGAGGAACACCAGUGGCGAAGGCGGCCUGCUGGACAGCAACUGACGCUGAGGCGCGAAAGCGUGGGGAGCAAACAGGAUUAGAUACCCUGGUAGUCCACGCUGUAAACGAUGGAUACUAGGUGUGCGGGGACUGACCCCCUGCGUGCCGCAGUUAACACAAUAAGUAUCCCACCUGGGGAGUACGAUCGCAAGGUUGAAACUCAAAGGAAUUGACGGGGGCCCGCACAAGCGGUGGAUUAUGUGGUUUAAUUCGAAGCAACGCGAAGAACCUUACCAGGGCUUGACAUCCUACUAACGAGGUAGAGAUACGUUAGGUGCCCUUCGGGGAAAGUAGAGACAGGUGGUGCAUGGUUGUCGUCAGCUCGUGUCGUGAGAUG
rnacentral:rRNA from 1 species